rnacentral:rRNA from 1 species
CUACGGGGGGCACCAGUGGGGAAUAUUGCACAAUGGGCGCAAGCCUGAUGCAGCAACGCCGCGUGAGGGAUGAAGGCCUUCGGGUUGUAAACCUCUUUUAGCAGGGGAGAAGCGAAAGUGACGGUACCUGCAGAAAAAGCACCGGCUAACUACGUGCCAGCAGCCGCGGUAAUACGUAGGGUGCAAGCGUUGUCCGGAAUUAUUGGGCGUAAAGAGCUCGUAGGCGGUUUGUCACGUCUGCUGUGAAAAUCCAAGGCUCAACCUUGGACUUGCAGUGGGUACGGGCAGGCUAGAGUGCGGUAGGGGAGAUGGGAAUUCCUGGUGUAGCGGUGGAAUGCGCAGAUAUCAGGAGGAACACCAAUGGCGAAGGCACAUCUCUGGGCCGUAACUGACGCUGAGGAGCGAAAGCGUGGGGAGCGAACAGGAUUAGAUACCCGGGUAGUC